AUGGCCGGCGCCCCGCGCAGGUCCGACGUCGACUUCGCCGACGUCUUCGGCGGCCCGCCCCGCCGCUCGUCGGGGAGCGACCGCGGGCGCCGCUCCUCGCUCGACUCGCCCUCCGGCUCCGGCUCCGGCUCCGGCGCCGCGUCCAGGGCGCGGAGCGGGGCCGAGGAGAGGCCCGCCUUCGGGGACCGCACCAGCUCCGGCUUCGCGUCGAGGGAGCGGCGGAGCGGCGGCGAGAGCGGGCCCGGGGAGAGGCCCGUCUUCGGGGACCGCACCAGCUCCGAGCGGAGGCAGCUCGGCCAGGAGUUCUACAAGGAUAUCUUCCCGGGGGCCGAGCCGCCGGCGUCGCCCAGGCCGGGCGGCGCCUCCGGCGAUCGGGACGUGUUCGGCGCGCCCACGUCGCCCGGCGGGUCCACCAGCCGCCUGCUGUCGCGGUCCAGCUUCUCCAUGAAGUUCACCAGAGGUGUGGACAGUUCAGUGCCUACUUCUCCAUCCCGGCAUAUAUCCAGCAGAAAUGAUGAUGACACAUCUUAUGGUUACAGUGUUCCAGCUUCACCGAAUUCAUCCACGAAUAGUUCUCUUGCCCAGGGGGUAUCCCAGCAAGAUUCGAAGAAGAAUCCCUUUUCGUGGCAUCGAUAUCCCUUCCUAUCCCGGUUCCGUUCAAGUGGAGAUAAGAAGGACACCUCUCAACAUGUUAACUCUAUGGACAGUGAAUGUGAAGGGACUCCUAUUAGCUCAGCAAGCUUCAUCAGCAGUGACAAGUUCCAUUUUUCAUUCUAUAAGUGGAGAGGGAAAGGAGCUUUGUUGAUGUUGCCAGCUAGUGUGCAAGAAAAAGAUGGAAAUAUUAUUGGGGUUAGAAGCUUCCCUCAAGUAGUUGUGCAAGGCAUUGACCUAAUUGAUGAGGAAGAAAGCAUGUCAACCGCCACGCCUGCAUCAAAAAGUCAGACCGACUAUGAAGAUUACAAACACAGUAUAAACUCAACAACCAAGGAGGAAUCUUCAGUGUUUGAUGAGUACCUGCAGGGUGAUAAAUCCAAAGAAGCAGGAACAAAGAAGAGUAUCAAUAAUGCAAAGAGCAAUGUAUCAGCAGGGAGCCCCAGAACUCAAAGUUCACGUCCACCUUCAGGAGAGAAAAGUCGUGGUAGCAGAGUGCUAAAAGAUUUCAUCAAAAUCUUCAGUCCUGAGGUUUCACCAAAGCGAAAAGUGGCAGUUGAGGCUCAAGAUCAGUCCAGUGGAAAAAGUGGAAGCAAAGGUGGAGUUGAAGAUAAAUUUAGCAUCUCGGAUUUGGAGACUGGUGAGGAUAUUAAGACGGAUAAAACAAACAAUCAGAAUGCAUUUUCCCCUGCGGCUGCUCAAAUGAGAGACGUACAAGGUAGGAUGGAGAAACCCGUCCUUACAGUCGAUGAUGAAAUGCUCACAAGAACAGGCAAACUCUCUGGAAAGGAAGAUGUUAAACCUCCAUCUUCUGAUAAGUCGUUCCAUGUUGAAACAGAGGAAAAGGUGCGUGACACAACAAGUCGUGAGGAAAGUCACAUGGAAAAUCUUGAAGAAUGUGUGGUUGAGCAUUUGGAUGAAGAUCAGAUUCUUCAGGAUGACAAUGAAAAGGAACAAAUAAAGAUAUCUCAAUCCAAAAUCCGGGAGUGGUCAAAGGGAAAAGAAGGAAAUAUUCGGUCAUUGCUUUCUACACUGCAAUAUGUUCUCUGGCCUGAGAGUGGAUGGAAACCAGUUCCAUUGGUUAACAUAAUUGAAGGAGCAGCGGUUAAGAAAGCUUAUCAGAAGGCGUUGUUAUGUCUUCAUCCAGAUAAGUUGCAACAGCGAGGAGCUGCCAUGCAUCAAAAGUAUAUAGCAGAAAAGGUUUUUGAGAUUCUACAGGAGGCAUGGAAGGAAUUCAAUUCAGUCACUUUUGGAUAG
rnacentral:rRNA from 1 species